rnacentral:rRNA from 1 species
UCCUACGGGAGGCAGCAGUAGGGAAUCUUCCGCAAUGGACGAAAGUCUGACGGAGCAACGCCGCGUGAGUGAUGAAGGCUUUCGGGUCGUAAAACUCUGUUGUUAGGGAAGAACAAGUGCUAGUUGAAUAAGCUGGCACCUUGACGGUACCUAACCAGAAAGCCACGGCUAACUACGUGCCAGCAGCCGCGGUAAUACGUAGGUGGCAAGCGUUAUCCGGAAUUAUUGGGCGUAAAGCGCGCGCAGGUGGUUUCUUAAGUCUGAUGUGAAAGCCCACGGCUCAACCGUGGAGGGUCAUUGGAAACUGGGAGACUUGAGCGCAGAAGAGGAAAGUGGAAUUCCAUGUGUAGCGGUGAAAUGCGUAGAGAUAUGGAGGAACACCAGUGGCGAAGGCGACUUUCUGGUCUGUAACUGACACUGAGGCGCGAAAGCGUGGGGAGCAAACAGGAUUAGAUACCCUGGUAGUCCACGCCGUAAACGAUGAGUGCUAAGUGUUAGAGGGUUUCCGCCCUUUAGUGCUGAAGUUAACGCAUUAAGCACUCCGCCUGGGGAGUACGGCCGCAAGGCUGAAACUCAAAGGAAUUGACGGA